AUUGAACGCUGGCGGCGUGCUUAACACAUGCAAGUCGAUCGGUAACGCGGGGGCAACCCUGGCGACGAGAGGCGGACGGGUGAGGAACGCUUGGGAAUCUGCCUAUCAGCGGGGGACAACACGGGGAAACUCGUGCUAAUACCGCAUACGCUCUACGGAGGAAAGCCGGGGACCGCAAGGCCUGGCACUGAUAGAUGAGCCCAAGCCGGAUUAGCUAGUUGGCGGGGUAACGGCCCACCAAGGCGACGAUCCGUAGCUGUCUGAGAGGACGAUGAGCCAACCUGGGACUGAGACACGGCCCAGGCUCCUACGGGAGGCAGCGGUGGGGAAUAUUGGACAAUUGGGGAAACCCUGAUCCAGCGACGCCGCGUGGGUGAAGAAGGCCUGCGGGUUGUAAAGCCCUUUCGGUAGGGACGAAAGCUCUCGACCUAACACGUCGGGAGGUUGACUUAACCUACAAAAGAAGCACCGGCUAACUCUGUGCCAGCAGCCGCCGUAAAAC
rnacentral:rRNA from 1 species